rfam:Cricetulus griseus cell line CHO-K1, whole genome shotgun sequence.
GGAUGUGAGGGUGAUCUGGCUGCUACAUUCUGUCACCCCAUUCAUUACCAGGGUUGAUUCAGCUGAUCUGGCCGGCUAGUCGGGUGUCACCUUCCUCCAUUACCACUCCACGUGCAUCCCUCCUGAAGAUGCACUCUGCUCUGUUGACCUUCCUGAAUAUAGGAGAACCAGGGUUUUUGGUCAAGGGUAUACAAGUAGCUGUGCUCCCCUGCUGCAACCUUUAAGUAAGUUCUCAAGGUGACUGAUUUCACAUUCAAUUUAUUAUUAUUAUUAUUAUUAUUAUUAUUAUU